AUUGAACGCUGGCGGCAUGCCUUACACAUGCAAGUCGAACGGCAGCACGGGUGCCUGCACCUGGUGGCGAGUGGCGAACGGGUGAGUAAUACAUCGGAACGUACCUUAUCGUGGGGGAUAACGCAGCGAAAGCUGUGCUAAUACCGCAUACGCCCUGAGGGGGAAAGCGGGGGAUCGCAAGACCUCGCGCGAUUAGAGCGGCCGAUGCCUGAUUAGCUAGUUGGUGGGGUAAAAGCCCACCAAGGCGACGAUCAGUAGCUGGUCUGAGAGGACGAUCAGCCACACUGGGACUGAGACACGGCCCAGACUCCUACGGGAGGCAGCAGUGGGGAAUUUUGGACAAUGGGGGCAACCCUGAUCCAGCAAUGCCGCGUGAGUGAAGAAGGCCCUCGGGUUGUAAAGCUCUUUUGUCAGGGAAGAAACACCGGCUCUAACACAGUCCGGGAAUGACGGUACCUGAAGAAUAAGCACCGGCUAACUACGUGCCAGCCGCCGCCGUAA
rnacentral:rRNA from 1 species